rnacentral:rRNA from 1 species
CCCUUAGAUGUCCGGGGCCGCACGCGCGCUACACUGAAGGAAUCAGCGUGGCUUUCUCCCUGACCCGAAAGGGUUGGGAAACCCGUUGAAUCUCCUUCGUGAUAGGGAUUGGGGCUUGAAAUUGUUCCCCAUGAACGAGGAAUUCCUAGUAAGCGCGAGUCAUAAGCUCGCGUUGAUUACGUCCCUGCCCUUUGUACACACCGCCCGUCGCUACUACCGAUUGAACGGUUUAGUGAGGGCCUCGGAUUGGUCUCGGCCCGCUCUUUACCGGGCGGCGCCGUUGGUCGAGAAGACGCUCGAACUUGAUCGUUUAGAGGAAGUAAAAGUCGUAACA